rnacentral:rRNA from 1 species
GACGAACGCUGGCGGCGUGGAUUAGGCAUGCAAGUCGAACGGUAUCAUCCUUUCGGGGGUGAGAGAGUGGCGAACUGGUGAGUAACACGUAGGUUAUCUACCCUCAAGACGGGGACAACCCAGGGAAACUUGGGCUAAUACCGGAUGUGAGCAACUUUUAGUUGUUUGAAAGGUGGCGUAAGCUGUCGCUUGGGGAUGAGCCUGCGUCCUAUUAGUUAGUUGGUGAGGUAACGGCUCACCUAGGCAAUGAUAGGUAGGCGGCCUUAACGGGUGGUCGCCCACACUGGGAUUGAGAUACGGCCCAGACUCCUACGGGAGGCAGCAGUCGAGAAUAGUCUACAAUGGUCGGAAGACUGAUAGUGCGACGCCGCGUGAACGAUGAAUCCCUUCGGGGUGUAAAGUUCUUUUAUAUGUGAGCAGUGCUUCUUAUAUUAAGAGUAUGGGGAGAGAGAUAUUAGCAUAUGAAUAAGCAACGGCUAACUCCGUGCCAGCAGCCGCGGU